UCCCUGAAUCGACGUGUUCCUAUCCAAACAUAAAUGGAUGAAUGAAUAAGCACGGAAAAUUCCACGAAUUCAAAAUUACCUUUCUUAGAAAUGAUUUCUAAAACCUAAAGGAAUGCCCACCAAAGAAGGUUCACAAGUUAAAGAGAUAAUAUCUCACGUGGCCACUCAACUAAUGAUUUUUCUCUUACAAAGGCAAUCAGUUUCCCACAUCGCUCCUUCGGGAGGUUAUCCUUCACGAAUCUUCGCUUCCCUUAGAUACUACAGCUUUACUAGUUAGGGGCAUUUGUAAUGUGAUCAUGUUUCUGCCUAUCCGUUUGUUCUUUAAUAACUUUUUCAAACUCUACAAAUGAGAGUAUUUUUGUUCUCCCUAGCCUUCUCAUAGUCCCCCUCCUAUUUUCAUCUCUGGAAGCAAGAAUAUUUGCUGGUCAUUGUAUGCUAAGAACUUCAUUGACUGUGUUCCGGAACUUUUUGGUUAUAUGCAAUACAAAAAGCAGCCAGAAAAAGAACAACACAAUGAGUCUGAGAAACUUCAGUCACAUCUCAAAAAAUCAAUGUGUCAUCAGAAAUUCAGCAUAAAAAAUGUGUGACAUGUUCUCUUGAGCGCCAUUUAUGUCCAAACUCUUAUAUUAUUAUCCCAUCUCCUCCUCAAAGUAGAUCCCCAGCAUCUUGCUGAGGUCCCUCCAUCACAGUAAGGGUGACAAACGAUCUGCUUACCUCAAUCCCCUCGGAGAAGGUAAGAAUCAUUACCAUUAGUUAGAAUUGAGAACUUGUAUGUGGUGAUGCCACAUCCCAUGUGUAACUUCCAAAAGAUAUAGGAAAUGCUUACAUGGUAAAAGCUUUUCCAACCACCGGUUUACAAGGUAUUCAAACCUUGCCUGGUCCCAUUUCUUUCCAGGCAUUUGUUGACAAUCGAAACAAACAUAAGUGAUCUGUAGUUAGCAGUUUUCUAAUGAUUAUCCAUAUGUUGGUCUCAACUUACCAAUAAAGUAUAUGCUUGUCUCGAUCGAGUAUAAUAGCUUGAAAUCCCUCAUUUCUUCUAUAUCACAUAUUUUUGGUGUCAAAGCAAUAAAGAAGAUGCAUUGUUUUUGGAAGUCUUGAACAUAUAAAAAAAGAAAAUUACUUUAGAGCAUUACGUAUAUAUCCCAUGAUAAUUCGCCAACAUUCCUGAAAAAAGGCCGCGGUGAAACAUUGAGUAACCUUAAUCCCUUCAUAUGGCUUAGAAAUAUUAGCUACCUCAUCCUUCAGGAAUGGUCCAUGCAGCGCUUUUUUUGGCAACCAUAAACCAAUAAAUUUUCACCUUCAUGACCUUUCCUCAGCGAUAGUAACUUCCUAGAAAUCCUUUGAUCAGUAAUUUUUCUGUACGAACUCUUCAUCCUGUUUAAUUAAGAGAUCUGAUUUAUACUACUAAUUUUCUCCGUAAUCUGGUACUUCCUUCGUCCCAAUCUGUGAAAAAUACUCAAGUUCCAACUUUGAGGCAAUAAGAAGCUUGGUUAGCCUUCUAACUCAAAAGCAAGGGUUCUUCCUUUUAAUUUUUGUGAAACCAUCUACCUCUAACUAUGUCUUUGAAUUUAAAGUAACUAAACGUGAUCACAGUAGGUUCGUCAUCCGUGAAAAUUUUAAGCAAGAUGUUUCUGGUCAAGUUAAAAUAUUGUAUGUAGCUGGAUUGCUUGAUACUUCUAAAAACAUCAUCUCAUUUAGUGGAGAAUAGGAAGCCAUCAAUUCUAGAUGUUACAACAAAGUCUUAACU
rnacentral:lncRNA from 1 species